GGGGGAACAAUGGACCAUAGGAAUCAAUAAUGUCCAUUUUCCACAUGAUUAUGUUUGGAGCUUUAAGUUAACCUUUAUGGGAGAAGCAGCAGGAUCUGCAGUGUGACCAAAAUGAGAUGAUCCUGAGACAAGAUGUCAGAGGAAAGAAAACAACUUUUUUCCGUGAUAUUUUCUGAGCAGGACUGCAGAUUCCAGCAGGAUUAGAAAAGUUCCCGCUCUGCAGUAAACCGGUGGCCUGUUCAGAGCACUCUUUGUUCGCUUAGUCCUGGUACCUGGGCUAGCUUGGUUCCUUUCCAAGUGUCAAAUAGGACACCCAUCUUACCGGCCAAUGUCCAAAAUUACGGUUUGAACAUAAUUGGAGAACCUUUCCUUCAAGCAGAAACAAGCAACUGAGGGAAAAAGAAACACAACAAUAGUUUAAGAAAUUUUUUUUUUAAAUAAAAAAAAAGGAAAAGAGGAAGACUGGACAAAACAACACAAAGGGAGAAAGGAAAGAAACUGAAGAAAGAAGAUAAUAGACCAGCAAUUGCAGCACUUACAAUCACUAAUUCCCUUAAGGUUGAAACUGUAAUGACAUAAAAAGGGUCGAUGAUAUUUCACUGAUGGUAGAUCGCAGCCCCUGCAACGUAGCCUUUGUUACAUGAAGUCCGCUGGGAAAUAGAUGUUCUGUCUCUAUGACAAUAUAUUUUAACUGACUUUCUAGAUGCC
rnacentral:sRNA from 1 species